CUACAGCCAAUUAAGCCGACCAUGUCCUUUUCCCCAUGGGGGUCCGGUGUGCAGUGGUUGCAAUCAGCAGCCUCCUUGGUAGUGUAUGCAGCCUGUCCCUUGUAUAGGUUGCCCUAAGGGACCAUGGAGAUGGCC
ensembl:snoRNA SNORA70 Small nucleolar RNA SNORA70